rnacentral:rRNA from 1 species
UACGUAGGCAGCAAGCGUUGUUCGGAGUUACUGGGCGUAAAGGGUGUGUAGGCGGUUGGAUAAGUGUGGUGUGAAAUCUCCCGGCUCAACUGGGAGGGUGCGCUACAAACUGUCUGACUAGAGUGGCGGGAUGGGAAAGUGGAAUUCCUGGUGUAGCGGUGAAAUGCGUAGAUAUCAGGAGGAACACCGGUGGUGUAGACGGCUUUCUGGACCGUAACUGACGCUGAUAACACGAAAGCGUGGGGUAGCAAACAGG